rnacentral:lncRNA from 1 species
CAGGCAGAUUUCAGCCUGCCUGGUUUACAGAGUGAGUUCCAGGACAGCCAGGGCUAUACAGAGAAACCCUGUCUCAAAAAACAAAACAAAACAAAACAAAACAAAACAAAAAACAAAACAAAAAAAGAAAGAAAACUGAACUUUUUUCACAGAUAGAGAUGGGUAUUCUGUAAGAAGUUGAAAUAUUUGGCUAAAAUUGAAUUAUUUGCUACUUCAGAAUUUCUGUUGCCUGUUAAAGUACUGUGAAAUAAUUGGUGUAAGGCAUUACACCAAAUACUACCACACCUGGGUGUGAGUCUUGCUGUUUGCUGUGCUCUGCUUAUAUUGGCUGCCUUUCAGUUCCUCAGAUUUGCUGUUCCUCUCCCCAUUUCCUCUUUUGAGAAUUUUCUUUUUCUUUUUUUUUCUUUUUUAAAAAUUUUAUUAAUUUUAAAGAUUUUACUUUAUCUUUGAGUACACACCAGAAGAGGGCAUCAAAUCCCACUACAGAUGGUUGUGAGCUACCAUGUGGUUGUGGGAAUUGAACUCAGGAUCUGUUGGAAGAGCAGUUGGUGAUCUUAACCACUGAGCCAUCUCUCCAGCCCCGAGCAUUUUCUUUUCUUCUUCUUUUACUCUCACCAUUAUCAAGGUGAGGACGGCGAGAGGGCUUCUGAGAAAUUUCCUCAGGUUCUGGCACUGUUUUUGUAGAUCUUCCAGAGAUUUUUAAAUUACUUGAAUAAUUUGACCUGUGACAAAUGCUAAGCUUUAUGAAAACAUGGUCAUGUCUUGAUGCUGAAUUCUGGAACCUAGCUCAGAGCUUGGUACAGAUCAGGAGUAGAGUAAAUGUGUCCAAAGACUCCAUGAUUGACUCCUUCUGUACAGCUAACAUGUCUGUUGUAGCAACCGCCACAGCAGCUGACUGUGCUUGCGUGCGUGCAUGUGCGCAUGCUUUAUGUUCAGCCAGAAACCUAGGUAGAAUUCUUCAGAUGACUAUCGCCCAUUAGCUGGUAUGUAGCUUCUCACUGCUCACUUGGCUCCUAUACGUAACCUUCUGGAGAGACUAGACUGACUACAUUGUACUUUUUCCUUUUUUUAAUUUUCUUUAUGUGGAUGUCUUCAGACACACCAGAAGAGGGCAUCAGAUCCCAUUACAGAUGGUUGUGAACCACCAUAUGGUGGCUCAGGAUUGAACUCAGGACCUGGAAGAGCAGGUCUCUUUUGAGCCACCUCUCCAGCCCUAUACUGUACUCUUUUUGGGAUAGGGUCUUAUAUAUUACCAAAGUGUUGUAGUAAAAAUUAAUUGGGGGUUUCUACAUCACCUUUGUUCCCAAAUAAAAGACACAAAACCUUUAUAAUUAGCCUUAAUACGUUAGAUCUGGGCAGAUAUCAGCCUGCUAUACUAUUUUGUCUAUUUCCCUAUCAAUAACCCUUGGAUAUAACUUGCCAUGUUCCCCCUGGGCGGCUCCUCCUACUCCAACUGGCCAGCCCUCAUGACCAUAUUCUCCUGAUCCACGUACCCCGUGGAGUCUUCUUCCUUCCUACCCUCUUCUCCCUCCAGUGGUCUAUCGUCAGACCCCAAGCCUGGGAACCAAAGCUCUGAAGCUCCGGCUACCUCUCUUCUGUAGGCUAUAGAUAUUAACCAAUAGUUUUAAAUUAAGGAGCACAACAAAAGCUGGUAAACAUGAGAAUUGAUUCAUAGGCAAUUAGACCUUAGUGUACAGAAUUUAGCAUUACAAUAUGAAGCAACAGACCAAACCUCAACAAUUACCCCCUCUUCC